AUCCUUUUAGUGGCUCAUAAAUGUGAUGAUGGGGUGUCUAGGUACUUGCAUGCCAUGUGCCUCUUACAGACUUUGUGAUAAUAUCAUCACAGUAACGAUCUGAUA